rnacentral:rRNA from 1 species
ACGUAGGGGGCAAGCGUUGUCCGGAAUCAUUGGGCGUAAAGAGCGUGUAGGCGGCCCGGUAAGUCCGCCGUGAAAGUCCAGGGCUCAACCCUGGAAUGCCGGUGGAAACUGCCGGGCUGGAGUCCGGAAGAGGCGAGUGGAAUUCCUGGUGUAGCGGUGAAAUGCGCAGAUAUCAGGAGGAACACCAAUGGCGAAGGCAGCUCGCUGGGACGGUACUGACGCUGAGACGCGAAAGCGUGGGGAGCAAACAGG